GGGCUCGUGGCGAAACGGUAGACGCGCUAGACUUAGGAUCUAGUCCCGCAAGGGGUCUGGGUUCAAAUCCCAGCGAGCCCACCA
rnacentral:tRNA from 1 species